AGAUCUAAUAAAGAAUGUGUCUAAGAAAUUGUCAUGAAGGGAACAUUUGAUGUUGCAAUGUGUAAAGAAAUGGAUAUUGUAAAUAAACCUAUAUUAAAUCAAAAGAAAGAUAAGAAGGAUGGAUUUGAAGAAAAAAGCAUUGGCAUUAUUAAUGAAUAAAGGAGAUAUAUAUGAUAGAAUGUUAAAGGAAGUUGAUAAUGGAACAAAAGAAAGUGUGUUAAAUGUUACUCUAUAUUUAUCAUGCAUACUGUAGAAGGUUGAUUUCCAGUACUCAAGGGCACUGUGGAAAUUAUAGGUAAAAUGUAAAUGAAAUGAUCAGUAGUUAUGGAAUAGGAAAAUUAAACGGGUUUGGGAGUGAAUCUUACAAAUGAGGAAAUAUCCUAAAUGAAAGAAAUUUAAAGUAUUAUCAGAAAGAGUAUAAGUGUGUAGAGUAAAAAGACAAGAGGCAUUGUUUACACAAAUAUGUGAAAAAGAAGAUGAGGUAGGAAGAUAUAAAUAAAAUAAGAAAUAAAAAUAAGAAAAACAUUAAAAAGAAUUAAUGAAGCAAAAUUGGAAGAGAGUAGAGUGGGAGAGUAAAGAGGAGGUGUCAUCUGAUGGAGAAAUGUGGAUAUGGAAAAAAAGGAUGGCUUAGGCCAUUGGCCUUACAAUUUCUUAGUUUAAUAAAGGUAUUAAGGACCUUGGGAGGCUGAUCACUUACCCUCAGGCAUUCAUGGGACUGGGAAAAGGACUAAGUUGUGGCAAUGGAGAAAUGAAAGAAACCUUUGACCGGUGGACUAACGUUACAUGAGGAGGGACUAUUUUUGAACACAUCAUAGCAGUGUGGCAGCCACUGCUUGGACUCUAAAGCACAGAGAGAAAACUGGGAGACACAGAGAAUCCAGUUUUGUUCAGAGACAAUAAAAAAGAGACUGAGGGAAAUCCAGAAGGAGACCCAGGAAUGACCACACUGUUUUGAAAUGCAAAGUGAAUAACAGUGAUGACUCUUGUGUUCAGCUACUUUCAGCAAUUCCUCCAAAAAACCAGACUCCUGUACCCAUCAUAAAUGACUUUGCAGCAUCACCAUCUCAGAAAGAAAACAACUUGAACUGGGAGAGACAAAGAAAACAUGCUGAGGACUACAAAAAACCUGGCCACGCCAAGAGAGACUUUCGCUAUAUCCAUGUACCAGCUCUGUCUCUUGUAUACUGGAAAAGAUUGGGAAGAAAAGGAUUUAUGGGAUAUGAUGAAAACAAAAAGCUAUACAAAGCCAGGGGGAUAAAUCCAUUAUGCUUAGGAAUAACAUUAGACUUAUGUGCUAAAGUAAAAAUAAAUUGUAAAUGCAAAGAAUAAAUACAGAUGAUAACAACAUGCAAGAUAAAGAAGAUGUAUUAAUUGUUAAAAGAUGUAGAGAACAAAGUACUAAUUGAAGUAUCCAAUUAAUGACAUUGUAAGACUAACCAGUUGAUAUCCAGAUCCACAUUGCUAACAAAUGUUUUCCCAGAUGACAAAUACUGUAAUUGAUCUUUGCUUUAUAUAUUUAAGUAUUCAAACAGAAGAAAUAUUUAUAUGUUUUUAUGAAAUUAAACAAUAUACAAUUUGGUAUAGGAACAAAGAGGCUUUCAAAAUAAUGAGGGAAUAUAUAUUCAAUGUACUGGACAAGUGGGGUUAAUUUCUGCUACAAUAUUAUUAAAUUAAUUGGCAAUCAUAAAAGAUUAAACUUAUAUAAAAAUGAAUGAUAAUUUUAUUAAUGGUAACAACACAGCAGAUUUGGAAGCUAAAGAAGCCUCAGAAUGCCAUACAGAAGUAGUGCUUCUAUAGUGUUAAUACAAAAGCCUUACUUAGAAGAUAGAAGGAAAAAAGAACACGCUGGAUGUUAGGAAUAUUUUGUGGCACCUAAAGGGGGACAAAGAAAGACAUUCAAGACAUCUAAUGUACACAUUGGGGAUAAAUCAUUCUAUUGUACUGUAAAAUGUUACCUUUCCAGAUGGGUGGUUUUAAUUUCAAAUUAAAAACUGAGAUAUAAAAUAACUAAUUAAAAUUAAAGAUUAAAAAGAGGAAAAAUUGGUAUUAUUCUCCAUAUGUGAAAAAAUGGUCUCAAUAUUUGAGUACAUUUAUGGUUGAGUUUCUGUUCAACGGGUAAAGCUAGUGCCAAACAAUAAGGAUAAAAAAAAAUAUAUAGAAGAAGUAAUCCCUAGAUCAGCAUUUAUUUAAAAACAAUAAAGUGAAUACUGCAACAUUAAAGAAUAAAGAAAAGACUAAGAUAUGUUUACUAUCCUUAAUCAUAAAAAGUAUACCAUCCCUUCAACGUCAAACUCAGCAAAAAAUGUGAAUGCAUGAAACUGAACUGACUGGAUGCUUUGUCUCUUGCAAUAACAAGUGACAGACUGCAAACUAACACUGCAUGGAAUGCUUAUUGGUCGACCAAUGCCAAUACCAAUGUCUGCGCAAUACUAUAUAACAAAAAUUCAUCCCCAAAAAGGACUUCCUCUGGAACGACUGCAGAUGGAGCUUUUGGAACAAUUGCAAAUAAAGAUGAGAUCUUAUAUGAUAAAACUAACUGUAUGCAUAAGCUAUUUGUGUGCAGGAAAAAGAAAAGGAGCCUGAUGAGGAGAUGGAGAUAAAAUGCCAUAUUGUGCCAUGGGAUAUAGUGGAUCUGAGGGUCUUAAGGAGAGAGUGACAUAAAACAAGGAGCAGGGAGAGCAGCUCUAACAGCAGGCCAGGGGGAAGGAGCACAUCUGAUGUCAUCUGAGCCAUUGCACAGAGUUCCUAAAAUACCAGUCGGAGAAGAGGACAACAAAAACACGAUACUGAAGAGGAGAGCUGAGGAGCAGAGGAGAACCAAAAACACGAUACAGAAGAGGAGAGCUGAGGAGCAGAGGAGAACUUAAACACAAUAAUGAAGAGGAGAGCUGAGGAAAAGAAAAUAAUAAAAGACAUGAUACAGAAGACAACAACAGAAAAAUUAAAAGCAAUUCAAGCCUACAAAGCGAUAAAAGAACUAAGUACUGACCACUCAGGGCAUAUCAAGCAAUGGCAACAAAAUUAAGAAAAACAUGUAAAUGAGAAGAGACUUUCAGGAGCAACAACCAAUGAGUGCAAAGCAGUGGAGUUCACAAGCAAUACACAGAGACAAAGUUGCUGAUAAUGUGUAAAGGACACACAAGGAAAACUUCAAGGAAUUAGCCAUGGAAAUUGAAAAAUAAAGCUAAUAACCAGUUUGAUAAUUAUGAGCAACAUAUGGUAAAUUCACACGACUGCAGUUAAUAAUCAAACUUUUCUUCAAUAAACUUUUCACCUAUCAGCAAGGAUCAGUAACACUUCAGCGAGGACCAGUAACACCAGUGAGAAUUUAUUCUACAAUAAUCUCUGCAGAACCAAAAUUUAGAUAAAAUACUGAAGAUACCAAAACAAAAAGGAGACAAGGACAUCAACAGAAGAAAAAGGACGUCAACGGAAGGAAAAAAAAAAAAUAUGUUGGACAUUUUAUGGGAAACAAAAAAAAAAAACAUUAUGAAUGAAUAGUACAAAUGGGUAACUUUCAAAGCUAAGAGAAAUUGGUAUGAACAAUUGCUUAUUAUGCUCUAAAUCAUAAAAGGUAGGAAUAGUCAAAAGUCAACAUGAUAUUACAGGGGGGUUCGAUGUAACAAAUUGACAAAUUCUGGUGUUAUAAAAGAGAUGUUAUAAAAUUUUUAAUAAUUUGGGUGUUAGGUAUGGAAAGGGUGGACAAUGCUAUUAUAUAGUAUAAGAAAUGAAAAAAUGAAAUCAUAGCAGUGGACAUAUGAAGAUCAAACAGUAAUGUUAGCAGAAUUCUUUUGGUUUAAUUUUGAUUUAAUGGGAAAUGUUAACUUAUGGUGGUUUUGCAAUUAGAGAAGAAAUAUAUAUGUACAAGACUAAGGUUAAUUUAAGAAAUCAUCAUGAUUAUAUUGAAGUAUAUUGAACAAAAUACUGAGAAAACAAAUGAUAAAACUAAAAUAGUUUAUCCCUAAAUUGGUUUGGUAUUACCAUAACAUAUUAUGUUACAAUUUAAGCAAGAGAUGAGAUAAAAUCAUGGUUAGAAUAAAUAUUGAUUUAAUCUAGAAUUACUAAAUUAUAUCUACUAUAAUCAACAAAGGUUUAUUAAAUUUAACUAAUGACGUUUUAACAAUUUUAGAAAAACAAUGAGAUACUACAAAGGGGUAUAGUUUUAUUGGAGAUUCAUGUUAUGCUAACAAUACAACAUCAAAAUAGGUAUUCAUUGAAGCUAUUAAUAAACUUAAGUGUUUAUGAUAGAAACUGCAACUAAUACAGGAAGAAAGAAUCUUAAUGUGGAAUUGGUGUGAUUUAAAAUUAGGGAAUUGGGGAAAAUGGUUUGUCAAAUUAUCACAGACAUAUUUUGGUAUGUCAAAUGAUUAAAGGUAUAGGUUAAAGGAUGAAUAUUAUCAAAGGUAUUAGGUAAAGAGUGCAAAUUAUCAAAGGUUAAGGAUUUGCAAGUUUAAUUGGAUGAAUUGUUAUUUUACUGUGUACUUCCUAUAUUGAAACAAAUGUUAAUGAUUGAAAUAUCAAGAUGAAAAGUUACUUCAUAUAAGAAAUUACAAAGUGCAUCAAAAAUGGGUUUUGCAAAAGUUUGAAAAUGGUAAUAUUACAUCAGAAAAAGAUAUUAAGAAUUGAAAAGGUAUUUGACUAAUGUACACUCUUAUGAUGAAUAUUUUUAUGAGUUCUGAUUUUACAGCAACAAUGACAUAAUGAAGUAUAUUCCAUGAUCAUAAAGGUUUAUUAAUUGAAGGAGUAGGUUCUUUUACUUCUCCAAGAGAAGAUGUUUGUUCCACACUCCACCAAAGUGCGGCAGCAUGAUUUAGUCAUUGGUAAAGGGAAAGAUGGCUUAGUUGGGCCAUUAAUUAGCUUGACUUAAUUGAACUGGAUUAUGAAGUUGCACUUUGGGUGAGACUUGUGAAAGUCUCAAAGGGUGGAAUGAAGAAGAUUUUUUAAUUCAGAACUAUAUUUUUAAUUCAGAACUAUAUCUUUGGUGAACAUGGUAUUCAGAUUCAAAUGUGUUUUGCAAGAAUGUAUGUCUCAUGCUUGUAAGCUGAAGACUAGCAGUCUUAAAGACUGCAAUGUAUGCAGAGUUUAAAAUAUGGUAACUGAGAGCAGAGCUAAAAAUGCAUAGGCUGACAUUUAAGGAAUGAAGUCACAACACCUGUCAAACAUAAAAACAUGCUAAAAACAACUACAUGGGAGGGGUUUCAACUUUUAGAGAACUGUAUAUUAGGUUGCAUUCUGAAAAAGACUCUUUAGUUGCCUGGCCACCAACUCGGCCUUAUUGUUGUAUGCAAUAAAGUCAUCUUUUGGCAAUGGAA